rnacentral:rRNA from 1 species
UUGUAGAGUAACGGAAGGAUACACCUGGAUCUACUAUACCUGAGCCAAAUGAAUAAAGGUGGAAUUUGAUUGAGGAAAGAGAGGGUAUGGGGGAGGUGUAAACGUGUGGCUACUAAGACUGAGGUAUAGACUAGGAUUAGAUACCCUAUUAUUCUUAUAGUUUUAAAUAGAUAGCUCGGGUAGUAAAAAGUUAUGGGCUUCAAACCUAAAGAAAUUGGCGGCACCUUAGCUAAUUAGAGGAACCUGUCCCUUAAUACGAUAAACCACGAAAUGAUCGAACUUACUAUUGUACAUGGUCAGUUUGUAUACCGUCAUCUUCAGGUGAGUUCCAUAGAAUUUAACCUAUAAGCUCCGAGAGGGGAGGAAAGUUAGAUCAAGGUGCAGCUUAUUAGUAAGAGGUGAGAUGUGUUACAGUGUGUAAUGCGGUGCGGAGGUAAGCUUUUAAAGGGCUUAUUGAAGUAGGAUUUAACAGUAAUAAUGAAAUAUAGUAAGGCAUUAUGAUUUUAGCUCUGGGGUGUGUACAAAUCGCCCGUCGCUCUCGCUCAAAGGU